GAUGAAGAACGUAGCAAAAUGCGAUAAGUAAUGUGAAUUGCAGAAUUCAGUGAAUCAUCGAAUCUUUGAACGCACAUUGCGCCCUUUGGUAUUCCUUAGGGCAUGCCUGUUCGAGCGUCAUUUAAACCUUCAAGCUCAGCUUGGUGUUGGGUGACUGUCCGCUUCACCGCGGACUCGCCUCAAAAUUAUUGGCGGCCGGUACAUUGGCUUCGAGCGCAGCAGAAACGCGAACUCGGGCCCGUCGUAUUGGCUCCCAGAAGCUAUCUUCACAAUUUUGACCUCGGAUCAGGUAGGGAUACCCGCUGAACUUAAGCAUAUCAAUAAGCGGAGGA
rnacentral:misc_RNA from 1 species